rnacentral:snRNA from 1 species
GUGCUGCUUCAGCAGCACAUAUACUAAAAUUGGAAUGACACAGAGAAGAUGAGCAUGGCCUCUGUGGAAGGAUGACACGGAAGUUUGUGAACCUUUCCAUAUAUAU